AAAAAAAGAGGAAUAAAGAAAAAAUGAAAAAAAAGAGGAAAAUAACAAGAAAACAAAACAAAAAAAGAGGAAUCAAAUAGAAAAGAAAGAGGAAAAAAGAGGAAUGAAAAAGAAAAGAGGAAAAAAAGAGGAAUGAAAAAGAAAAAAGAGGAAAAUAAAAAAGAAAAGAAAAAGAAAGAAAAGGAAAAAAAGGAGAGGAAAACAAGGUGAGUGAGUACGUAAACAAAUGAUGGAGAUAUGACUUACGUAAACAAGAUACACACACACACACACACACACACACCGAGGAGCCUAACUUACUUACAUCUAACUUAAAAAAAAGAAACUCUCAGCUGGUACAAAAGAACGUAACACUUGGGCAACACACGAAACACUGGUACAAAAAACGAAAACCCGGGUCGACAAGCCAAGGAGGGUACGAAACAACUGAUAGAUAAAACUUGAAUGGUACAAAAAGACAAAGAACUGGUGCGAGAAAGCUUAAGAUGGUACGACUAACUAAUGAUUUAAAGUCUAGCUGGUACAAAAAAAGACAAAAACCUGGUACAAAAACACAUUAAGACAUGGUAUAAAAAACCUCAAAAUGGUACAAAAGGAUGAAAACUGGUACAAAAAAGCCUCAUAAAAAAUAAUGAUGAAAGGUCUAGCUGGUACAAAAUAGGAGAUGGUACAAAACACUAAAAAACGUGGUACAAAAAGCUGAAAAUGGUACAAAAGGAUGAAAACUGGUACAAAAAAGCCUCACUGUAAAAACAACUAAUAAUGAAAAGUCUAGCUGGUACAAAACAACACUAAAAGACAUGGUACAAAAGCCUCAAAAUGGUACAAAAAGGAUGAAAACUUGUACAAAAAACCCUCGUAUAACAACUAAUAAUGAAAUGUCGAGCUGGUACAAAAAUGGAGAUGGUACAAAACACUAAAAAGACAUGGUACAAAACGCCUCAAAAUGGUACGAAAAAGCCUCACUAUAAAAACAACUCGUAUUAAAAAGCUUGGCUGGUACAAAAAAAAAAAAAGACUGGUAAAAAAAAAGCCUCAUAGGUACAAAAUAAAGCAUGAACUAUAGGCGAUAUAAAGCUUGGAAUACGUAUCAAAACCGGCCUCUCUAGCCACUGCCUCGUGACGUCUAUACAUGGAGGGAGGAGCGCUGAAGACCAAACCAAUUCUAUGAGCUUACGAAAUUAUAAAAAUGCAGGUGGAAAAUAUAGAAAAAUACGCAUCUUUCUCCCUCGCAUAUGCUCAUAAAUACAGUUCCCUUUGACGCCUAUGACAGAGAAAGGAACACUAAGGAACAAAGCAAUUCUAUAGGCCUACGAAAUUAUAAAAAUGCAGGUGGAAAAUAUAUAGAAAAAUACGCAUCUCUCUCCCCUCGUAAGGAAGAUUAUAACCUAACGAUAUGCUCAUAAAUACAGUUCCCUGCGACACCUACGACAGAGAAAGGAACGCUAAGGAACAAAGCAAGUCUAUUAAGCUUACAAAAUAAUGAAAAAAUGGCGAGUCUUUCUCCCCUCGUAAGGAAGAACGCAAACUAACAGUACGCUCGUAAACUCAGCUUCCUACGACGCCUAUGACGGAGAAAGGAACACUAAGGAACAAAGCAAUUCUAUAAGCCAACGAAAUUAUAAAAAUGCUGGUGAAAAUAUAGAAAAAUAAGUAUCUAUCUCCCCUUGUGAGGAAGAUUCUAACCUAACAAUAUGCUCAUAAAUACAGUUCCUUGCGACACCUACGGUUGAGACAAGAAACUCUCAGUAACAAAGCAAAUCUAUAAGCCUACGAAAUUAUAAAAAAUGAUGGAUAAAUAUGAAAAAAUGGUGUCUUUCUCCCCUCGUAAGGACGUUUCCAACCUAACAAAACACCUACGACAGAUAGGAUCGCUGGAGAACAAACCAAACCUAAAAAAUUAAGAAAUGAUAUGAAAACAUUGGUAAAAAGCCGUCAUUCUUUCUCCCCUUACAAGAAAGACUCAAAAUUAGGACAACGCUCACAAACCAAACCUAAAAAAAUAAAACCUGGUAAAAAACAUUGGUAAAAAAGCCUCAAUUCUUUCUCCUCUUACAAGAAAUGCUCAAAAUUAGAAAACGCUCACAAACCUAACCUAGAAAACUAAAUGAUACAAAAAACACUGGUAAAAAAAAGUCUCGAUUCUCUCCCCUUACAAGAAAGACUCAAAAUUAGGAAACGCUCACAAACCUAACCUAGAAAACUUAAUGAUACAAAAAACGCUGGUAAAAAAAGCCUCAAUUCUUUCUCCCCUUACAAGAAAUGCUCAAAAUUAGGAAACGCUCACAAACCAAACCUAGAAAACUAAA